CAACUUUCAACAACGGAUCUCUUGGUUCUCGCAUCGAUGAAGAACGCAGCGAAAUGCGAUACGUAGUGUGAAUUGCAGGUUUACGUGAAUCAUCGAAUCUUCGAACGCAAAUUGCACUUCCCAGUAAUCUGGGGAGUAUGCCUGGUUGAGGGUCAUCC
rnacentral:rRNA from 1 species